rnacentral:rRNA from 1 species
UACGUAGGAUGCAAGCGUUGUCCGGAUUUACUGGGCGGAAAGCGCGCGCAGGCGGCACUCUAAGUACGAUGUGAAAUAUCCCGGCUCAACCGGGAGGGUGCAGUGUAGACUAGGGAGCUAGAGGUCGGUAGAGGGGGGUGGAAUUGCUGGUGUAGCGGUGAAAUGCGUAGAGAUCAGCAGGAACACCCGUGGCGAAGGCGGCCCCCUGGGCCGUACCUGACGCUGAGGCGCGAAGGCUAGGGGAGCGAACGGG